rnacentral:tRNA from 1 species
GGGAACAUAGCAAAGAGGGUUAAUGCGGCAGACUUUUAAUCUGCAGGCGCAGGUUCGAAUCCUGCUUUCCUCA